rnacentral:rRNA from 1 species
UACAGAGGGUGCGAGCGUUGUCCGGAAUCACUGGGCGUAAAGCGCACGUAGGCGGACUCUUAAGUCGGUGGUGAAAUCCUGGAGCUCAACUCCAGAACUGCCUUCGAUACUGAGAGUCUUGAGUCCGGGAGAGGUGAGUGGAACUGCGAGUGUAGAGGUGAAAAUUCGUAGAUAUUCGCAAGAACACCAGUGGCGAAGGCGGCUCACUGGCCCGGACUA